rnacentral:rRNA from 1 species
CCUACGGGUGGCAGCAGUGAGGAAUAUUGGUCAAUGGCCGAGAGGCUGAACCAGCCAAGUCGCGUGAGGGAAGAAUGUCCUAUGGAUUGUAAACCUCUUUUGUCAGGGAGCAAAGUCACCCACGUGUGGGUGUUGGAGAGUACCUGAAGAAAAAGCAUCGGCUAACUCCGUGCCAGCAGCCGCGGUAAUACGGAGGAUGCGAGCGUUAUCCGGAUUUAUUGGGUUUAAAGGGAGCGUAGGCGGUUCCAUAAGUCAGCGGUAAAAUCGUGCGGCUCAACCGUACCGUGCCGUUGAAACUGUGGGACUUGAGUAUGCGCAGGGUACAUGGAAUUCGUGGUGUAGCGGUGAAAUGCUUAGAUAUCACGAAGAACUCCGAUCGCGAAGGCAUUGUACCGGAGCAAGACUGACGCUGAGGCUCGAAAGUGCGGGUAUCAAACAGGAUUAGAUACCCGGGUAGUC